rnacentral:pre_miRNA from 1 species
GACGUACUCCCUCCGUUCGGAAUUACUUGUUUUGGAAAUGGAUGUAUCUAGAACUAAAAUACGUCUAGAUACAUCUAUUUCUGCGACAAGUAAUUCCGAACGGAGGGAGUAGAUC